CUACAUUUAUACAAAAAGUUAAGGUACUAUAUUUGGCUUCACUGCUUUAAUUAACGUUGGUAUAUAUGCAGGAGGAAAACAUGGAACUGAAGAAACAGAAGACGGAUUCCUUUGAAGGUUAUGCUUGGACUGACUACAUGUCCAUGCAAUUUACUCAAAAUGUCAUCAGUGAAACUCUCAGACUGGCAAAUAUCAUCAAUGCGGUUUGGAGAAAAGCACUCAAGGAUGUAGAAUCAAAGGUUAUUCUAUACCACAAGGAUGGUGCGUCUUGGCCUCUUUUAGUUCUGUUCACAUGAACGAAAAUAACUACGAAAACCCAUAUCGAUUCGAUCCAUGGAGAUGGAAGAAAAUGGGAGCUGCUGUUAAUAACAAUUUCUUUACACCAUUCGGGGGUGGACAGAGGCUCUGCCCUGGAUUAGAAAUUUCCAGGCUUGAGCACUCAAUAUUUCUUCACCAUCUUGUCACUAGUUACAAAUGGGUAGCACAACAAGAUGAAAUUGUCUACUUUCCAAUGGUCAAGAUGAAGAGAAAGCUCCCCAUCAGUGUUACCCCCAUAAGCACUUGAUCUGUUGAUCAACUAACUAUAGUAAUAUUUAGUUACAGCUAUUGAUUGCCACAAGAUUAAUGAAGAUUAUAGUUAACAUAUCGAUCAAAGGAAGGAAGCUACCGUGAAAGUGCAUCGAUCUCAACCUCAAAGGAGGAUAAAUAUACAUAUAAUAUAAGUACUAGACAGACCCACAAGGAGGCCUUUCCAUCAAAUGGAACUCUAUAAUUGUGUUAGCUUUGGAGUCACUGUCUUUGUUCAUUGCAGGAGCACGUGGGGGUACACUCUUUUGGGGCCAGUCUCCAAUCCC